rnacentral:rRNA from 1 species
AACGAACGCUGGCGGCAUGCCUAAUACAUGCAAGUCGAACGAGAUCUUCGGAGCUAGCAGCGCACGGGUCCGUAACGCGUGGGCAUCUGCCCUCGGGUUCGGAAUAACUUCUGGAAGCGGAAGCUAAUACCGGAGGAUGACGUAAGUCCAAAGAUUUAUCGCCCAAGGAUGAGCCUGCGUAGGAAUAGGUAGUUGGUGAGGUAAAGGCACACCAAGGCCACGACCCUUAGCUGGUCUGAGAGGAUGAUCAGCCAUACGGGGACUGAGGCACGGCCCGGACUCGUACGGGAGGCAGCAGUAUGGAAUAUUGGACAAUGGGCGAAAGCCUGAUCGAGCAAUGCGGCGUGGGGGAUGAAGGCCUUAGGGUUGUAAAGCUCUUUUACAAGGGAUGAUAAUGACAGUACCGGGGGAAUGAGCCCCGGCUAACUCCGUGCCAGCCGCCGCCGUAACAC